CUGCACAGAAUCACUGCGAUAUAAAUCAUCUUGUUUUUCCAAGAACUUUGCAUUGUGUGAUCAAGCGAAAGGAUUCUUUACCUCACCUUGCUCAAACUCAUCUCAAACACACUGAACUUCUGAUCUUGAUGGCCUGUCUGACCUCUGACCUCUCUGCCCUUCUGUCCUGUAGGAGUUUGAGAAUGCUGAUGGGGAGGAGUACCAGGCGGACCUGUCCACCCUGGCGUCCCCUGCAUCCCAGAGCGGACCUGAUGUCUACAUCCUACCCCUCACGGAGGUGUCCCUCCCCCUGGCCAAACAACCAGGACGAUCAGUCCAACUCCUGAAAUCCACAGAAGUCGGCCGCCAGAGUCUUCUGUACCUGAAAGAGAUCGGCGAUGGCUGGUUCGGAAAGGUGAGACCACUCACUCUCUCCUCACUUUUUCUUGUCAAUUCAUUUUGGUUAUUUUCACUGUGCUGGAAGCUACGAUACGGGUUUAUGAGAGGUAGUUAAAUGUUCUGUCAACUUCGGCUCACGGUUGUUAUGCGCUGAGCUGUGAUCCUAGGUGUGUUUGAGACAGCCUCUUUAAAUGGCCGACACGCUACAUUACCUGGAAUGUGUGUCUGUAUCGGUAAUGAUGGGCUGAUCCACAAGCCUUUGAUGUCUGCCUGCUUGCCUGCCUGCCUGACUGUCUGCCUGCCUGCCUGACUGUCUGCUUGCCUGACUGACUGUCUGCCUGCCUGCCUGCCUGCCUGACUGACUGUCUGCCUGACUGCCUGACUGUCUGCCUGCCUGCCUGUCUGCCUGACUGCCUGACUGUCUGUCUGCCUGCCUGCCUGACUGCCUGACCAACUGCCUGCCUGACUGCCUGACGCUGUUCAGAGAGGAAUAGAACGCCGUGGAAAGACUGGGAGAGAACCGUGUAGCCUGCACACGCAAUGCAGCAGUUUUUAGUUAGCAUUUCACUCUGUUUUUAUUGUCAGAUAACCAUCUUACUCUGAGUGAUGGGUAUUAGCUACUGUAACACUAGAUAACCAUCUUACUCUGAGUGAUGGCUAUUAGCUACUGUAACACUAGAUAACCAUCUUACACUGAGUGAUGGGUAUUAGCUACUGUAACACUAGAUAACUAUCUUACUCUGAGUGAUGGGUAUUAGCUACUGUAACACUAGAUAACUGAUUCUUGUCAUUCUCUCGUUCCCUCCCUCUUUCUGUUUCUUUGUUCUGUUCCGUCUCACACUCAUACACUCUUACACACAUACUUUCCCCACACUUGUGUACCUUGACUGGGUAUGUCCAUUCGUGUGUGUGUCUCUGUGACUGCAUGCAUACCUCUCUGUGUGUCUCUGUGACUGCAUGCAUACCUCUCUGUGUGUCUCUGUGACUGCAUGCAUACCUCUCUGUGUGUCUCUGUGACUGCAUGCAUACCUCU
rnacentral:lncRNA from 1 species